rnacentral:rRNA from 1 species
GAUGAACGCUGGCGGCGUGCCUAAUACAUGCAAGUCGAGCGAACAGACGAGGAGCUUGCUCCUCUGACGUUAGCGGCGGACGGGUGAGUAACACGUGGAUAACCUACCUAUAAGACUGGGAUAACUUCGGGAAACCGGAGCUAAUACCGGAUAUUAUAUUGAACCGCAUGGUUCAAUAGUGAAAGACGGUUUUGCUGUCACUUAUAGAUGGAUCCGCGCCGCAUUAGCUAGUUGGUAAGGUAACGGCUUGCCAAGGCAACGAUGCGUAGCCGACCUGAGAGGGUGAUAGGCCACACUGGAACUGAGACACGGUCCAGACUCCUACGGGAGGCAGCAGUAGGGAAUCUUCCGCAAUGGGCGAAAGCCUGACGGAGCAACGCCGCGUGAGUGAUGAAGGUCUUCGGAUCGUAAAACUCUGUUAUUAGGGAAGAACAAAUGUGUAAGUAACUAUGCACGUCUUGACGGUACCUAAUCAGAAAGCCACGGCUAACUACGUG